rnacentral:rRNA from 1 species
AGUGAACGCUGGCGGUAGGCCUAACACAUGCAAGUCGAACGGCAGCACAGUAAGAGCUUGCUCUUACGGGUGGCGGGUGGCGGACGGGUGAGGAAUACAUCGGAAUCUACUUUUUCGUGGGGGAUAACGUAGGGAAACUUACGCUAAUACCGCAUACGGCCUACGGGUGAAAGCAGGGGAUCUUCGGACCUUGCGCGAUUGAAUGAGCCGAUGUCGGAUUAGCUAGUUGGCGGGGUAAAGGCCCACCAAGGCGACGAUCCGUAGCUGGUCUGAGAGGAUGAUCAGCCACACUGGAACUGAGACACGGUCCAGACUCCUACGGGAGGCAGCAGUGGGGAAUAUUGGACAAUGGGCGCAAGCCUGAUCCAGCCAUACCGCGUGGGUGAAGAAGGCCUUCGGGUUGUAAAGCCCUUUUGUUGGGAAAGAAAAGCAGCAGGUUAAUACCCCGCUGUUCUGACGGUACCCAAAGAAUAAGCACCGGCUAACUUCGUG